UAGGGAAUCUUCGGCAAUGGGGGGAACCCUGACCGAGCAACGCCGCGUGAGUGAAGAAGGUUUUCGGAUCGUAAAGCUCUGUUGUUAAGGAAGAACGAGUGCGAGAAUGGAAAGUUCAUGCUGUGACGGUACUUAACCAGAAAGGGACGGCUAACUACGUGCCAGCAGCCGCGGUAAUACGUAGGUCCCGAGCGUUGUCCGGAUUUAUUGGGCGUAAAGCGAGCGCAGGCGGUUAGAAAAGUCUGAAGUGAAAGGCAGUGGCUCAACCAUUGUAGGCUUUGGAAACUGUUUAACUUGAGUGCAGAAGGGGAGAGUGGAAUUCCAUGUGUAGCGGUGAAAUGCGUAGAUAUAUGGAGGAACACCGGUGGCGAAAGCGACUCUCUGGUCUGUAACUGACGCUGAGGCUCGAAAGCGUGGGUAGCAAACAGG
rnacentral:rRNA from 1 species